AACGAACGCUGGCGGCAGGCCUAACACAUGCAAGUCGAACGGGACCUUCGGGUCUAGUGGCGGACGGGUGAGUAACGCGUGGGAACGUGCCCUUUGGUUCGGAAUAGCCCCGGGAAACUGGGGGUAAUACCGGAUAAGCCCUACGGGGGAAAGAUUUAUCGCCAAAGGAUCGGCCCGCGUUGGAUUAGGUAGUUGGUGGGGUAAUGGCCUACCAAGCCGACGAUCCAUAGCUGGUUUGAGAGGAUGAUCAGCCACACUGGGACGUGAGACACGGCCCAGACUCCUACGGGAGGCAGCAGUGGGGAAUCUUAGACAAUGGGGGAAACCCUGAUCUAGCCAUGCCGCGUGAUCGAUGAAGGCCUUAGGGUUGUAAAGAUCUUUCAGUGGGGAAGAUAAUGACUGUACCCACAGAAGAAGCCCCGGCUAACUCCGUGCCAGCCGCCGCAGUAA
rnacentral:rRNA from 1 species